rnacentral:rRNA from 6 species
CUAACAAGGAUUCCCCUAGUAACGGCGAGUGAAGCGGGAAGAGCUCAAGCUUAAAAUCUCCGUGCAAGUUUUGCGCGGCGAAUUGUAGUCUAUAGAGGCGUGGUCAGCGUGGGCGCUUGGGGCAAGUUCCUUGGAAGAGGACAGCAUGGAGGGUGAUACUCCCGUUCAUCCCUGAGUGGCUCGUGCGUACGACCCGUGUUCUUUGAGUCGCGUUGUUUGGGAAUGCAGCGCAAAGUAGGUGGUAAAUUCCAUCUAAAGCUAAAUAUUGGUGCGAGACCGAUAGCGAACAAGUACCGUGAGGGAAAGAUGAAAAGAACUUUGAAAAGAGAGUUAAAGAGUACCUGAAACUGCUGAAAGGGAACCGAAUCGUUUCCAGUGUCUAUAAUCCGUGGCAUAUUUCAUUGGCGAGUGUGCGCGUGCGUGUGCUGUGGCAGUGGCUUUUUUGGCUGCGCUCGGUGUGUGUGCUGUGUGUGCUUGCUGGUGCCCUGUGCUGCGGUGGGACGUCAAGGUCAGUUCGUAUGCUGCGGGAAAUGGCUGCCGAGGAGGUAGGGCUUACGCUCCGCGUUUGUCUGUUAUAUCUUGGUGGACGAGUCGUCGCGGUUGGGACUGAGGUGCCUACAACGUGCUUUUGAGUGGGUUUGUGUCUCCGUGUGCGCCGUGUGCGGAUAGCUUGCUAUGCGUGUGUGGUUGUGUGUGGAUUGAUGCGGGCUUUAACUUGUCGCCGUUCGGGACGUUGACGAAAUGGAGCGAUCCGACCCGUCUUGAAACACGGACCAAGGAGUCUAACAUGUGUGCAAGUGUUAGGGUGUGGAAACCCCAGCGCGAAAUGAAAGUGAAGGGCAGCGCAAGUUGUCUGAGGUAGGAAACGUUGCGGGCUUCGGUCUGCGGCGUGGCACUAUCGACCGAUCAUGAACCUUCGUGGUGAAAGAUUUGAGUUUGAGCACAUAUGUUGGUACCCGAAAGAUGGUGAACUAUGCCUGAGUAGGGUGAAGCCAGGGGAAACUCUGGUGGAAGCUCGUAGCGAUUCUGACGUGCAAAUCGAUCGUCAAACUUGGGUAUAGGGGCGAAAGACUAAUCGAACCAUCUAGUAGCUGGUUCCCUCCGAAAUUUCCCUCAGGAUAGCAGCAACUUAUUUACGAUAGUUUUAUGAGGUAAAGCGAAUGAUUAGAGGAUUCGGGGAAGAAACUUCCUCGACCUAUUCUCAAACUUUAAAUCUGUAAGACCUGCAGGUUUCUUAAUUGAACUUGUGGAUGUGAAUAUCAA